UACGAAGGGUGCAAACGUUGCUCGGAAUCAUUGGGCGUAAAGCGCACGUAGGCGGCUUCGCAAGUCGGAUGUGAAAUCCCUCGGCUCAACCGAGGACGUGCAUACGAAACUGCGGAGCUUGAGUGCUGAAGAGGAUCGCGGAAUUCCCGGUGUAGAGGUGAAAUUCGUAGAUAUCGGGAGGAACACCAAUGGCGAAGGCAGCUCGCUGGGACGGUACUGACGCUGAGACGCGAAAGCGUGGGGAGCAAACAGG
rnacentral:rRNA from 1 species